CAUUUUUUUAUAUCUCCUACGGUUUUGGCGAUAGUUACACACAAAGAAAAAAACCGUUUUUUUUCAAAGGGAUGUUUCACCCCUUAAAUUUAAGAUAGGGCCGUAUAAAAAAAUACGUGUCUCCUCAAAUUGUAUGUUUUACAACAUAUUUCAAGGAGAAUCAAAUCGGGGGGGAGACACUUGUGAACGUUCCCUUGUAAGUGAGGCCUUGCCUGAUCAGUUCCUUAUCGGGAUCGUAUUAAUAUUUCCACGCGAGAUAGUGUACCUGGAAGUUUUAUGCUACGUGUUAUAUUAUAUCAGUAGUGUAGGGUUUCAAGAUAAUUCUUUAUAUGUACUUGCUCUGCACUUCGUCCUUUGGAGGGGUUUUAUAAUUCUCUCGAAUGCUGCUGUGCGUCAGUUCUCGUUUAGCAUCCGAUUUAGUUGCAAUAGAGUUUGCGAAUUUAAUAAUUGUUUUGCGGCCUGAGACCGAUGGAAGAAUGAUGAGGCGACGAGAAUUUUCUACUGCGGAACUAUUAGAGGAAUUGGUUCUCACAUUUGUUCAAAACUCUUCAGAGCGACUUAUUAUACGGCGACAAAGGAUGGCCCUUUGUCGUCAGCUCCUUGUGGGUUUGCACCGUGCUGUUUCGCGGCAAUUUCGGCGGUUCAACGAUCGUCGUCGCCGAGUUGGGCACUUGAGAUGGCGACGUGCGAUGUUGCUCAUCUCAGAAAUGACAUGUGUUCUUCAUCGAAUGCAUUGGCUUACGGAGGAGGAUAGUGAGAACGAGGAGUAUCCUGAUUCUCCGUAACAAGGUUCUGGACGUUCCGCGUUCCUGGUCCCGAAGGAGAGACAGAUCCCACAGCUGCCACCAGGUUUGUUGUGCCCUUUUUUAAGGGCACGGGUUCGAGAUUUGCCGAGAAGUUGGAUUAGGCCAAAAAUCCGGAAAUUAUAAAACUGUUUUUAUUUUUCAAUAAAAAACAGGUGUCCUUUUA